rnacentral:rRNA from 1 species
GACCUGCGGAGGGAUCAUUACACAAAUAUGAAGGCGGGCUGGAACCUCUCGGGGUUACAGCCUUGCUGAAUUAUUCACCCUUGUCUUUUGCGUACUUCUUGUUUCCUUGGUGGGUUCGCCCACCACUAGGACAAACAUAAACCUUUUGUAAUUGCAAUCAGCGUCAGUAACAAAUUAAUAAUUACAACUUUCAACAACGGAUCUCUUGGUUCUGGCAUCGAUGAAGAACGCAGCGAAAUGCGAUAAGUAGUGUGAAUUGCAGAAUUCAGUGAAUCAUCGAAUCUUUGAACGCACAUUGCGCCCUUUGGUAUUCCAAAGGGCAUGCCUGUUCGAGCGUCAUUUGUACCCUCAAGCUUUGCUUGGUGUUGGGCGUCUUGUCUCUAGCUUUGCUGGAGACUCGCCUUAAAGUAAUUGGCAGCCGGCCUACUGGUUUCGGAGCGCAGCACAAGUCGCACUCUCUAUCAGCAAAGGUCUAGCAUCCAUUAAGCCUUUUUUUCAACUUUUGACCUCGGAUCAGGUAGGGAUACCCGCUGAACUUAAGCAUAUCAAUA